rnacentral:rRNA from 1 species
CCAAUAGCGUAUAUUAAAGUUGUUGUGGUUAAAAAGCUCGUAGUUGAACCUUGGGCCUGGCUGGCCGGUCCGCCUCACCGCGUGUACUGGUCCGGCCGGGCCUUUCCCUCUGUGGAACCCCAUGCCCUUCACUGGGUGUGGUGGGGAAACAGGACUUUUACUGUGAAAAAAUUAGAGUGCUCCAGGCAGGCCUAUGCUCGAAUACAUUAGCAUGGAGUAAUAGAAUAGGACGUGUGGUUCUAUUUUGUUGGUUUCUAGGACCGCCGUAAUGAUUAAUAGGGACAGUCGGGGGCAUCAGUAUUCAAUUGUCAGAGGUGAAAUUCUUGGAUUUAUUGAAGACUAACUACUGCGAAAGCAUUUGCCAAGGAUGUUUUCAUUAAGCAGGAACGAAAGUUAGGGGAUCGAAGACGAUCAGAUACCGUCGUAGUCUUAACCAUAAACUAUGCCGACUAGGGAUCGGACGGUGUUAUUUUUUGACCCGUUCGGCACCUUACG